AGGUUAAGUUAACAAGGGCGCAUGGUGAAUGCCUUGGCACUAGGAGCCGAUGAAGGACGGGACUAACACCGAUAUGCUUCGGGGAGCUGUACGUAAGCUAUGAUCCGGAGAUUUCCGAAUGGGGCAACCCAGCAGUUUUAAUCAACUGUUACCACUAGAUGAAUUCAUAGUCUAGUUGGAGGUAAACGCUGUGAACUGAAACAUCUCAUUAGCAGCAGGAAUAUAAAGAAAUUUCGAUUCCCUAAGUAGCGGCGAGCGAACGGGGAACAGCCCAAACCAAAGUGCUUGCACUUUGGGGUUGUAGGACUGAACAUUUGAGUUACCAAAGAACUUGAUAGUCGAAGGAUUUGGGAAAAUCCGCCAUAGAUGGUGAUAGCCCAGUAGAUUAAAUCAAAUUCUCUCAGUUCAGGAUCCUGAGUACGGCGGAACACGUGAAAUUCCGUCGGAAUCCGGGAGGACCAUCUCCCAAGGCUAAAUACUACCUAGUGACCGAUAGUGAACCAGUACCGUGAGGGAAAGGUGAAAAGCACCCCGGGAGGGGAGUGAAAUAGUUCCUGAAACCAUGUGCCUACAAUAAGUCAGAGCGCGUUAAUGCGUGAUGGCGUGCCUUUUGUAGAAUGAACCGGCGAGUUAUGAUCCCGUGCAAGGUUAAGACUAAAAAGUCGGAGCCGUAGCGAAAGCGAGUCUGAAAUGGGCGUUUUGAGUACGAGGUUAUAGACCCGAAACCAGGUGACCUAUCCAUGUCCAGGUUGAAGGUGCGGUAAAACGCACUGGAGGACCGAACCCGUGUAAGUUGAAAAUUGCUGGGAUGAGGUGUGGAUAGCGGUGAAAUUCCAAACGAACUUGGAGAUAGCUGGUUCUCUCCGAAAUAGCUUUAGGGCUAGCCUCGGAAUUAGGAUCAUGGAGGUAGAGCACUAUUUGGACUAGGGGCCCGUCUUGGGUUACUGAAUUCAGAUAAACUCCGAAUGCCAUUGAUUCAUAUCCGGGAGUCAGACGAUGAGUGAUAAGAUCCACCGUCGAAAGGGGAACAGCCCAGACCAUCAGUUAAGGUCCCUAAAUGUAUGCUAAGUGGAAAAGGAUGUGGAGUUGCAUAGACAACUAGGAUGUUGGCUCAGAAGCAGCCACCAUUUAAAGAGUGCGUAAUAGCUCACUAGUCGAGUGAUCCUGCGCCGAAAAUGUACCGGGGCUAAGCAUACUACCGAAACCAUGGAUGCGACCAAUAGGUCGCGUGAUAGGAGAGCGUUCUAAGGGCGGUGAAGCAAGAUCGUGAGGACUUGUGGAGCGCUUAGAAGUGAGAAUGCCGGUAUGAGUAGCGAAAGAUAGGUGAGAAUCCUAUCCACCGAAUGACUAAGGUUUCCUGGGGAAGGCUCGUCCUCCCAGGGUUAGUCGGGACCUAAGUCGAGGCCGAGAGGCGUAGACGAUGGAUAACAGGUUGAGAUUCCUGUACUAGUUAAGUGCGUUUGAGCAAUGGAGGGACGCAGGAGGCUAAGAUGUGCAUUCUGUUGGAUUAGAAUGUCCAAGCAGCAAGUCUUGUGAAGAGUCAAAUGCUUUUCACUUUAAGGACAAGCUGUGAUGGGGAGCGAAAUUUAGUAGCGAAGCGUCUGAUGUCACACUGCCGAGAAAAGCUUCUAGUGAGUACUUAACUACCCGUACCGCAAACCGACACAGGUAGUCGAGGAGAGAAUCCUAAGGUGAGCGAGUGAACUCUCGUUAAGGAACUCGGCAAAAUGACCCCGUAACUUCGGGAGAAGGGGUGCUGAUCGCAAGAUCAGCCGCAGUGAAUAGGCCCAGGCGACUGUUUAUCAAAAACACAGGUCUCUGCAAAAUCGUAAGAUGACGUAUAGGGGCUGACGCCUGCCCGGUGCUGGAAGGUUAAAAGGAUGGGUUAGCUUCGGCGAAGCUCAGAAUUGAAGCCCCAGUAAACGGCGGCCGUAACUAUAACGGUCCUAAGGUAGCGAAAUUCCUUGUCGGGUAAGUUCCGACCCGCACGAAAGGCGUAACGAUCUGGGCACUGUCUCAACGAGAGACUCGGUGAAAUUAUAUUGUCCGUGAAGAUGCGGACUACCCGCGACAGGACGGAAAGACCCCAUGGAGCUUUACUGUAGCUUGAUAUUGAGUGUUUGUACAGCUUGUACAGGAUAGGUAGGAGCCAUAGAAACCGGAACGCUAGUUUCGGUGGAGGCGUUGGUGGGAUACUACCCUCGCUGUAUGACCACUCUAACCCGCACCACUAAUCGUGGUGGGAGACAGUGUCAGGUGGGCAGUUUGACUGGGGCGGUCGCCUCCUAAAAAGUAACGGAGGCGCCCAAAGGUUCCCUCAGAAUGGUUGGAAAUCAUUCGCAGAGUGUAAAGGCACAAGGGAGCUUGACUGCGAGACAGACAGGUCGAGCAGGGACGAAAGUCGGGCUUAGUGAUCCGGUGGUACCGUAUGGAAGGGCCAUCGCUCAACGGAUAAAAGCUACCCUGGGGAUAACAGGCUUAUCUCCCCCAAGAGUCCACAUCGACGGGGAGGUUUGGCACCUCGAUGUCGGCUCAUCGCAUCCUGGGGCUGUAGUCGGUCCCAAGGGUUGGGCUGUUCGCCCAUUAAAGCGGUACGCGAGCUGGGUUCAGAACGUCGUGAGACAGUUCGGUCCCUAUCCGUCGCGGGCGUAGGAAAUUUGAGAGGACCUGUCCUUAGUACGAGAGGACCGGGAUGGACAUACCUCUGGUGUGCCAGUUGUGCCGCCAGGCGCAUCGCUGGGUAGCUACGUAUGGAUGUGAUAAACGCUGAAAGCAUCUAAGUGUGAAACACACCUCGAGAUGAGAUUUCCCAUUCCUUUAUGGAAGUAAGACCCCUGAAAGAUGAUCAGGUAGAUAGGUUAGAAGUGGCAGUGCGGUGACGCAUGAAGCGGACUAAUACUAAUCGGUCGAGGACUUAACCAAG
rnacentral:rRNA from 1 species